rnacentral:rRNA from 1 species
GACGAACGCUGGCGGCGUGCUUAACACAUGCAAGUCGAACGGAAAGGCCUGUCCUUCCUUGUGUUGGACGGGUACUCGAGUGGCGAACGGGUGAGUAACACGUGAGUGAUCUGCCCCCAACUUGGGUAUAAGCCUGGGAAACUGGGUCUAAUUCCCGAUAGGACUGCAGGGUGGUGCCUGUGGUGGAAAACGAUUUUCUAGUGGUUGGGGAUGAGCUCGCGGCCUAUCAGCUUGUUGGUGGGGUAAUGGCCUACCAAGGCGGCGACGGGUAGCCGGCCUGGGAGGGUGGACGGCCACAUUGGGACUGGGAUACGGCCCAGACGCCUACGGGAGGCAGCAGUGGGGAAGAUUGCGCAAGGGGCGGAAGCCUGAGGCAGCGACGCCGCGUGGGGGAUGACGGCCUUCGGGUUGUAACCUCCUUUCGACCGCGAGGAAGCCGCCUGGUUGGAAGGGUGGUGACGGUAGUGGUAGAAGAAGCACCGGCUAACUACGUG